GAUGACGCUGGCGGCGUGCUUAACACAUGCAAGUCGAACGAUGAUCCCAGCUUGCUGGGGGAUUAGUGGCGAACGGGUGAGUAACACGUGAGUAACCUGCCCUUGACUCUGGGAUAAGCCUGGGAAACUGGGUCUAAUACCGGAUAUGACUCCUCAUCGCAUGGUGGGGGGUGGAAAGCUUUUGUGGUUUUGGAUGGACUCGCGGCCUAUCAGCUUGUUGGUGGGGUAAUGGCCUACCAAGGCGACGACGGGUAGCCGGCCUGAGAGGGUGACCGGCCACACUGGGACUGAGACACGGCCCAGACUCCUACGGGAGGCAGCAGUGGGGAAUAUUGCACAAUGGGCGCAAGCCUGAUGCAGCGACGCCGCGUGAGGGAUGACGGCCUUCGGGUUGUAAACCUCUUUCAGUAGGGAAGAAGCGAAAGUGACGGUACCUGCAGAAGAAGCGCCGGCUAACUACGUGCCAGCAGCCGCGGUAAUACGUAGGGCGCAAGCGUUAUCCGGAAUUAUUGGGCGUAAAGAGCUCGUAGGCGGUUUGUCGCGUCUGCUGUGAAAGACCGGGGCUCAACUCCGGUUCUGCAGUGGGUACGGGCAGACUAGAGUGCAGUAGGGGAGACUGGAAUUCCUGGUGUAGCGGUGAAAUGCGCAGAUAUCAGGAGGAACACCGAUGGCGAAGGCAGGUCUCUGGGCUGUAACUGACGCUGAGGAGCGAAAGCAUGGGGAGCGAACAGGAUUAGAUACCCUGGUAGUCCAUGCCGUAAACGUUGGGCACUAGGUGUGGGGGACAUUCCACGUUUUCCGCGCCGUAGCUAACGCAUUAAG
rnacentral:rRNA from 1 species